AGAGUUUGAUCAUGGCUCAGGAUGAACGCUAGCGGCAGGCUUAACACAUGCAAGUCGAGGGGCAGCGAGGGUAGCAAUACCUGUCGGCGACCGGCGCAAGGGUGCGUAACGCGUGAGCAACAUGCCCGUAUCAGGGGGAUAAUCCAGGGAAACUUGGUCUAAUACCCCAUAGUAAAUAUUAAAGGCAUCUUUGAUAUUUUAAAGCUUUGGUGGAUACGGAUUGGCUCGCGUGACAUUAGCUAGAUGGUAGGGUAACGGCCUACCAUGGCUACGAUGUCUAGGGGUUCUGAGAGGAAGAUCCCCCACACUGGAACUGAGACACGGUCCAGACUCCUACGGGAGGCAGCAGUGAGGAAUAUUGGACAAUGGAUGGAAAUCUGAUCCAGCCAUGCCGCGUGCAGGAAGACGGCCCUAUGGGUUGUAAACUGCUUUUAUACGGGAGCAAUAAGGUCUACGUGUAGGCCGAUGAGAGUACCGUAGGAAUAAGCACCGGCUAACUCCGUGCCAGCAGCCGCGGUAAUACGGAGGGUGCAAGCGUUAUCCGGAUUUAUUGGGUUUAAAGGGUGCGUAGGCGGUCAAUUAAGUCAGCGGUGAAAGUUUUCAGCUUAACUGGAAAAAUGCCGUUGAUACUGAUAGGCUAGAAUAUGGUUGCUGUGGGUGGAAUGUGUGGUGUAGCGGUGAAAUGCUUAGAUAUCACACAGAAUAUCAAUUGCGAAGGCAGCUCACAAAGCCAUUAUUGACGCUGAGGCACGAAAGUGUGGGGAUCAAACAGGAUUAGAUACCCUGGUAGUCC
rnacentral:rRNA from 1 species